rnacentral:rRNA from 1 species
UACAGAGGGUGCGAGCGUUAAUCGGAUUUACUGGGCGUAAAGCGCACGCAGGCGGUUGGUUAAGUCAGAUGUGAAAGCCCCGGGCUCAACCUGGGAAUUGCAUUUGAAACUGGCCAACUAGAGUACGUGAGAGGGGGGUAGAAUUCCAAGUGUAGCGGUGAAAUGCGUAGAGAUUUGGAGGAAUACCAGUGGCGAAGGCGGCCCCCUGGCACGAUACUGACGCUCAGGUGCGAAAGCGUGGGGAGCAAACAGG